rnacentral:rRNA from 1 species
AGCUCCAAUAGCGUAUAUUAAAGUUGCUGCAGUUAAAAAGCUCGUAGUUGCAUUUCCGAGGCAAGGGAUUAGUCCGACCUUUGGUGGGUAUUUAAUCCUCUUGCCUCGUCCUUGAGUGGUGCUUCUUGGUAUUAAGUUAUCGAGGAGAUAGCCGCUCAUCGUUUACUGUGAGAAAAUUAGAGUGUUCAAAGCAGGCUUAUGCCGUUGAAUAUAUUAGCAUGGAAUAAUAAGAUAGGACCUCGGUACUAUUUUGUUGGUUUGAGAACCAAGGUAAUGAUGAAUAGGGACAGUUGGGAGUAUUCGUAUUCAGUUGUCAGAGGUGAAAUUCUUAGAUUUACGGAAGACGAACUACUGCGAAAGCAUUUGCCAAGGAUGUUUUCA